UACGGAGGUUCCAAGCGUUGUUCGGAAUUACUGGGCGUAAAGGGGGCGCAGGCGGAUUGGUCAGUGGAAAGUGGAAGCCCGGGGCUCAACCUCGGAUGUGCUUUCCAUACUGCCAGUCUUGAGUACGUGAGAGGAGAGCGGAAUUCAGGGUGUAGCGGUGAAAUGCUUAGAUAUCCUGAGGAACACCGGUGGCGAAAGCGGCUCUCUGGCACGAUACUGACGCUGAGGCCCGAAAGCGUGGGGAGCGAACGGGG
rnacentral:rRNA from 1 species